rnacentral:rRNA from 1 species
UAGGGAAUUUUUCACAAUGAGCGAAAGCUUGAUGGAGCAAUGCCGCGUGAACGAUGAAGGUCUUUAAGAUUGUAAAGUUCUUUUAUUUGGGAAGAAUGACUUUAGCAGGUAAUGGCUAGAGUUUGACUGUACCAUUUUGAAUAAGUGACGACUAACUAUGUGCCAGCAGUCGCGGUAAUACAUAGGUUCGCAAGCGUUAUCCGGAUUUAUUGGGCGUAAAGCAAGCGCAGGCGGAUUGAAAAGUCUGGUGUUAAAGGCAGCUGCUUAACAGUUGUAUGCAUUGGAAACUAUUAAUCUAGAGUGUGGUAGGGAGUUUUGGAAUUUCAUGUGGAGCGGUGAAAUGCGUAGAUAUAUGAAGGAACACCAGUGGCGAAGGCGAAAACUUAGGCCAUUACUGACGCUUAGGCUUGAAAGUGUGGGGAGCAAAUAGGAUUAGAUACCCUAGUAGUCCACACCGUAACGAUAGAUACUAGCUGUCGGGGCGAUCCCCUCGGUAGUGAAGUUAACACAUUAAGUAUCUCGCCUGGGUAGUACAUUCGCAAGAAUG